rnacentral:rRNA from 1 species
ACACGGGGGGCGCAAGCGUUAUUCGGAAUUAUUGGGCGUAAAGGGCGCGUAGGCGGUCUUGUCGGUCAGAUGUGAAAGCCCAGGGCUCAACCCUGGACGUGCAUUUGAAACAGCAAGACUUGAGCACGGGAGAGGAAAGCGGAAUUCCUGGUGUAGAGGUGAAAUUCGUAGAUAUCAGGAGGAACACCGAUGGCGAAGGCAGCUUUCUGGACCGAUACUGACGCUGAGGCGCGAAGGCGUGGGUAGCGAACAGGAUUAGAAACCCUAGUAGUCC